GGUUGUAGCUCAGUGGUAGGUCACUUGCCUAGCAUGCACAAGGCUCUGGGUUCAAUCCUCAGUACCAACCA
rnacentral:tRNA from 1 species